UACGUAGGGGGCAAGCGUUGUUCGGAAUUACUGGGCGUAAAGGGCGCGUAGGCGGCACGGCAAGUCAGGAGUGAAAGGCCUGGGCUCAACCGAGGAACUGCUUUUGAGACUGCCGAGCUAGAGUGCAGAAGGGGCAACUGGAAUUCCCAGUGUAGCGGUGAAAUUCGUAGAUAUUCGCAAGAACACCAGUGGCGAAGGCGGCUCACUGGCCCGAUACUGACGCUGAGGCACGAAAGCGUGGGGAGCAAACAGG
rnacentral:rRNA from 1 species